rnacentral:rRNA from 1 species
CAGCAGCCACGGUAAUACAGAGGGUGCGAGCGUUAAUCGGAUUUACUGGGCGUAAAGCGUGCGUAGGCGGCUUCUUAAGUCGGAUGUGAAAUCCCUGAACUUAACUUAGGAAUUGCAUUCGAUACUGGGAAGCUAGAGUAUGGGAGAGGAUGGUAGAAUUCCAGGUGUAGCGGUGAAAUGCGUAGAGAUCUGGAGGAAUACCGAUGGCGAAGGCAGCCAUCUGGCCUAAUACUGACGCUGAGGUACGAAAGCAUGGGGAGCAAACAGGAUUAGAUACCCCUGUAGUCCCUGUCUCUUAUAC